rnacentral:misc_RNA from 1 species
GAUGAAGAACGUAGCGAAAUGCGAUAAGUAAUGUGAAUUGCAGAAUUCAGUGAAUCAUCGAAUCUUUGAACGCACAUUGCGCCCGCCAGUAUUCUGGCGGGCAUGCCUGUUCGAGCGUCAUUUCAACCAUCAAGCCCCCGGCUUGUGUUGGGGACCUGCGGCUGCCGCAGGCCCUGAAAACCAGUGGCGGGCUCGCUAGUCACUCCGGGCGUAGUAGUUACAUCUCGCUCAGGGCGUGCUGCGGGUUCCGGCCGUUAAAAGCCUUAUUUACCCAAGGUUGACCUCGGAUCAGGUAGGAAGACCCGCUGAACUUAAGCAUAUCAAUAAGCGGAGGA